ACACACACUGACACACUUGAACACAUUCGACGUGCGUACGUUUGUAUUGUGUGUGCGUGCGAGCGCUUGUGUGUGCGUGUGUGCGCGCAUAUUAUGUUCUAUACGCCAUAAGCGGUGCGAUAUCGAUAUACGUAUAUAGGUGUUGCUGUUUUCUACAAUGAUACAGUUGUUAGAUCUAAUCGAAGAGUUUUUAAUUUUUCGUUCCUACGAAUAUGCCAGAUUAGAUGAAUCCACAAUGUGAUUUACAAGCCCAAGAUCGGUGUCAUAGAAUUGGCCAAGUAAAACCAGUGGUUGUUUACCGUUUGUGCACUAAAAGCACUGUUGAUGAAAAAAUCUAAGCGAACGCUGCUGCUAAAAGGAAAUUAGAAAAAAUUGUUAUUGGCAACGGUACAUUUAAUAGAACCACAAAAGUUAACUUAUCUAAUAUAAAAGAGUUGAUGAAUUUAUUAGAAUCAUCUGAUUAUGAUAAACAAAUACAGUCGAAUGGAUUUAUAUUAUCGGAUGAAGAAUUAGAUUCACUCUUGGACCGUUCUGAUAUGAUUAAAUCAUCACCAAAAACAAAUGCUACUCAGUCUGCCAAACAUUUCGAAGUAUUGACUUAAUUGUUCAUUAUUAUUUUUUUUUCCUAUAAGUAGUAUCUAUAUAGCUGUUAAUUUUAAUACAUUUAUAGAACUAAAUUAAUGAUUUAAUAUGUUAAAA